rnacentral:rRNA from 1 species
UACGAAGGGGGGCUAGCGUUGCUCGGAAUCACUGGGCGUAAAGCGCACGUAGGCGGAUCUUUAAGUCAGGGGUGAAAUCCUGGAGCUCAACUCCAGAACUGCCUUUGAUACUGGGGAUCUCGAGUCCGGAAGAGGUGAGUGGAACUCCGAGUGUAGAGGUGAAAUUCGUAGAUAUUCGGAAGAACACCAGUGGCGAAGGGCGGCUCACUGGUCCGGUACUGACGCUGAGGUGCGAAAGCGUGGGGAGCAAACAGG